rnacentral:tRNA from 1 species
UGAGGUUGUGGCUCAACGGUAGAGCACUUGCCUAGCGUGUGCGAGGCCCUGGGUUCAAUCCUCAGCACCACAA